CAGUCGCCGCGGUAAUUCGUAGGUGGCAAGCGUUGUCCGGAAUUAUUGGGCGUAAAGGGCUCGCAGGCGGUUUCUUAAGUCUGAUGUGAAAGCCCCCGGCUCAACCGGGGAGGGUCAUUGGAAACUAGGAAACUUGAGUGCAGAGGAGGAGAGUGGAAUUCCACGUGUAGCGGUGAGAUGCGUAGAGAUGUGGAGGAACACCAGUGGCGAAGGCGACUCUCUGGUCUGUAACUGACGCUGAGGAGCGAAAGCGUGGGGAGCGAACAGGAUUAGAUACCCCCGUAGUCCCUGUCUCUUAUAC
rnacentral:rRNA from 1 species